UGAGUAACGCGUGGGAACGUGCCCUUCGGUACGGAACAACAGUUAGAAAUGACUGCUAAUACCGUAUACGACCUCCGGGUGAAAGAUUUAUCGCCGAAGGAUCGGCCCGCGUUAGAUUAGCUUGAUGGUGAGGUAAAGGCUCACCAUGGCGACGAUCUAUAGCUGUUCUGAGAGGAAGAUCAGCCACACUGGGACUGAGAC
rnacentral:rRNA from 1 species